rnacentral:misc_RNA from 1 species
GUAGCAUCCCUAAUUGACAUAACCCGCCCGCUGGUACGAGCCACAACGGGACAGGCAAGUCUUUCAAGGUGAUGCGCCACUCUUUGACAAACCCUCCCCAUCCCAAUGGCAAAGCCGAUUCAGGCAAGACAGUAGGUCAUGUUAACUUUGACAAACCCUCCUGAUGGCAAAGCCAAAUCAGGCAAGACAGUAGGCAUUGUUAACUUUGACAAACCCCUCCCGAUGGCAAGGCCAAUUAAGGCAAGACAGUAAGCGUUGUUAACUUUGACAAACCCUCCCGAUGGCAAGGCCAAAACAGGCAAGACAGUAAGCAUUGUUAACUUUGACACACCCUCCCGAUGGCAAGGCCAAUUCAGGCAAGACAGUAGGCAUUGUUAACUUUGACAAACCCUCCCGAUGCCAAGUCCAAAGCAGGCAAGACAGCAAGUCAUGUUAAGAGAGGCACAAACGCUAAAUGAGGGCAAAACAAGGAUCCCAUGAGACCCCGUGGCCCACAUCAUUUUCCAUAUCCAGGAUACCAAGCAACGCUCAAUGAGCCACAACAUCAACGCAAGCAUAAUGUUGUGGAUCAAAGAGACCGCUUUGUGGUUCAUCUGAUGCCACAAAAUUGGCACGAGAGGAAAUCAACUGUAAUCAACCAAGACAAUACCAAUGGUGAGGUACGCAACACAGAAACCCACAAUUGGGCCAGGCAAUAGAU